rnacentral:rRNA from 1 species
CUGACACAGGUGCUGCAUGGCUGUCGUCAGCUCGUGUCGUGAGGAUGUUGGGUUAAGUCCGUAACGAGCGCAACCCUUGUCCUUAGUUACCAGCACGUUAUGGUGGGCACUCUAAGGAGACUGCCGGUGACAACCGGAGGAAGGUGGGGAUGACGUCAAGUCAUCAUGGCCCUUACGGCCUGGGCUACACACGUGCUACAAUGGUCGGUACAAAGGGUUGCCAAGCCGCGAGGUGGAGCUAAUCCCAUAAAACCGAUCGUAGUCCGGAUCGCAGUCUGCAACUCGACUGCGUGAAGUCGGAAUCGCUAGUAAUCGUGAAUCAGAAUGUCACGGUGAAUACGUUCCCGGGCCUU